GAAAUGCGAUAAGUAAUGUGAAUUGCAGAAUUCAGUGAAUCAUCGAAUCUUUGAACGCACAUUGCGCCCGCCAGCAUUCUGGCGGGCAUGCCUGUUCGGCUC
rnacentral:misc_RNA from 1 species